rnacentral:rRNA from 1 species
CAGCAGCCGCGGGAAUACCAGCAGCCCAAGUGGUGGUCGCGAUUAUUGGGCCUAAGGCGCUCGUAGCCGGGCCGGUAAGUCCCUUGUGAAAUCGGACGGCCUAACCGUUCGGCGUGCAAGGGAUACUGUCGGUCUUGAGGCCGGGAGACGUCCGAGGUACUCCGGGGGUAGCGGUGAAAUGUUCUGAUCCUCGGGGGACCACCGGUGGCGAAGGCGUUCGACGAGAACGGGCCUGACGGUGAGGGGCGAAGGCUAGGGGAGCAAACGGGAUUAGAUACCCCCGUAGUCCCUGUCUCUUAUU